GUUGUUCGGAUUUACUGGGCGUAAAGGGCGCGUAGGCGGCCAGUGCAAGUCAGUUGUGAAAUCUCCGAGCUUAACUCGGAAAGGUCAACUGAUACUGCUCGGCUAGAGUGCGGAAGGGGCAACUGGAAUUCUUGGUGUAGCGGUGAAAUGCGUAGAUAUCAAGAGGAACACCUGCGGCGAAGGCGGGUUGCUGGGCCGACACUGACGCUGAGGCGCGAAAGCUAGGGGAGCGAACGGG
rnacentral:rRNA from 1 species